rnacentral:rRNA from 1 species
UCCUACGGGGGGCAGCAGUGGGGGAUAUUGGACAAUGGGGGGAACCCUGAUCCAGCGACGCCGCGUGAGUGAAGAAGUAUCUCGGUAUGUAAAGCUCUAUCAGCAGGGAAGAAAGAAAUGACGGUACCUGAGUAAGAAGCACCGGCUAACUACGUGCCAGCAGCCGCGGUAAUACGUAGGGGACAAGCGUUAUCCGGAUUUACUGGGUGUAAAGGGAGCGUAGACGGUUAUGCAAGUCUGGAGUGAAAGGCGGGGGCUCAACCCCCGGACUGCUCUGGAAACUGUAGAACUAGAGUGCAGGAGGG